rnacentral:tRNA from 1 species
UUUCUGGUGGUCCAGUGGCUAAGACUUUGCAUUCCCAAUGCAAGGGGGCUGGGUUCAAUCCCUGGUCAAGGAA